UGUUUUUUGCUUCGGAUUUGUGCGUGCCACUGAGACUAGUCAAUCGGCUACCGGCGCGGCUGCGCUCCAAAACAAACACUCGACAGAGGAAGGGAAGGAGAGUCUAGCAGCCGGAAAAAAUGGUGUCCCGCGCUGGGUUCGCCUCCCUCCUCGGCGCCUCCUUCCUCCUGCUCCUGCGCAGCGCCGAGCCGCUCGGGUUCAACCACCGCCCGACGACCGCCGGCGACGAGCUCUCGGCCGCCCCGAGCAGAUACCUGACGCGGGAGGAGCGCUGGAUGAGCCAGCGCCUCGACCACUUCUCCCCCACCGACCACCGCCAAUUCAAGCAGCGCUACUUCGAGUUCCUGGACUACCACGACGACCCUAACGGCCCGGUGUUCCUGCGCAUCUGCGGCGAGUCCUCCUGCGACGGCCUCCCCAACGACUACCUGGCCGUCAUCGCCAAGAAGUUCGGCGCGGCGGUGGUGACGCCGGAGCACCGGUACUACGGCAAGAGCUCCCCGUUCGACAGCCUCACCACCGACAACCUCAGGUUCCUCUCGUCCAAGCAGGCGCUCUUCGACCUCGCCGUCUUCCGCCAGUAUUACCAGGAAAAACUGAAUUCUCAGUACAACCGGAGCGCGGGGUUCGACAAUCCGUGGUUCGUCUUCGGGGUCUCCUACUCCGGGGCUCUCAGCGCAUGGUUCAGGCUCAAGUUCCCUCACCUGACAUGCGGAAGCCUCGCCAGCUCCGGGGUGGUUCUUGCUGUGUACAACUUCACUGAUUUCGACAAGCAGGUCGGAGAGUCGGCUGGCCCUCAGUGCAAAGCCGCCCUUCAGGAAAUAACUAGACUUGUCGACGAACAACUUCGGUCAGAUAGCCACUCGGUGAAGGCCUUGUUCGGAGCAGAUUCGUUGAAAAAUGACGGCGACUUCCUCUUUCUACUGGCAGAUGCAGCAGCCACAACAUUCCAGUAUGGGAAUCCUGAUGCCUUGUGCUCUCCUCUAGCAAAUGCGAAGAAAAAGGGGGAAAGUUUGGUGGAAACAUAUGCUCAUUUUGUGAAAGAUUACUUCAUUAAAAAAUUGGGGACUACAGUAUCUUCUUAUGAUCAAGAGUAUUUGAAGGAAACAACUCCCGAUGAUUCUAGUUCUAGACUUUGGUGGUUCCAAGUUUGCAGUGAAGUUGCCUAUUUUCAAGUCGCACCCAAAAAUGACAGUGUUCGUUCUGCGCAGGUCAAUACAAGGUACAAUUUGGACCUGUGUAAAAAUGUUUAUGGAGAAGGAGUUUAUCCUGAUGUGUUCAUGACAAACUUAUAUUAUGGAGGCACAAGUAUUGCCGCUUCUAAAAUUGUGUUUACAAAUGGCUCUCAAGAUCCAUGGCGUCAUGCCUCCAAACAGAAGUCAUCGGAAGACAUGCCAUCAUACAUAAUCAAAUGUAGCAACUGCGGACAUGGCACUGAUUUGAGAGGAUGUCCCCAGCUUCCUUUCAGGAUUGAAGGUGACUCUUCAAACUGCACGUCCCCAGAAGCUGUGAACACAGUAAGGAAGCAGAUCGUCAAGCACAUCGACCUGUGGCUAUCACAAUGCCAUGAACCAACAAGGGCGUGGUGAGGUGACGAUGACUCGUUCCUGUUUAGGAGGGGUAAAGGAAGCAGUAUGUAGAGGAAAGACCGAUUGCAAGUUUGCGACAUCGUUAUGCUGCAGAUCGAGUGAACCAUAUGCGGAUUGAGCAGCCAGUCCCCGGCCUGGAUGCGAUUGCGCGCAGGUCAUUUAUGACUCUCGGACAGUCAGAUGCAAUGCGUGCUUUUGAGACGGCCAGGUCCUCCGCAAGAGCUAAAGCUUCUCUCCACGCACACGCCUCCAGAGUAGCAGGUUCUGUCACACCUUGGAAUGCUACCGCGGACGCUCCCAGGAAUACGCCACGAUCACUUCGACAUACGACACCAACAGCAUUCGCUUGGGUCAUGGCGCCCCUGGUCCAGACAGCUUAACAAGGCUAUGGGCCUCUUGAUUCGAUACUCUCCCUUUAAAGAUGAAGACACAACUCUGAAAUUGAGUAGUAGUCGCUCUAAUCUCCUUCACAAUGCUCGCAUUCAUUCCUCCAUUGCCAAGAUUUAUGUCUUGAACAGCGUUUUUGCAGUCUGAAGCAAUCUCCACUGCAAGUAACGGCUAGUGAACAAGUAUACGGCUCAUGGGC